CAAAUAACCCUCAAAUGAAGUUUCAAGACCAGCAGAAACUGCAGAAUUCAGUAAACAUACACAGCAUCAUAGCACAAUUGCGGUCCAAUAAAAAUGUGGAAAGGGAACAAUGUACAGGAAAUCAUGAACAUUAGAUUGCAGAAUUAAUUUACAUAAACAAUAGAUUGCUGAAUUUAUUUACCAGACAGGCUCUCAAUUUUCUCGGACAGAUUAUCAACAUCUAUUCUUCUGCUGGAUCUUGAAUCACGACCUUCUUCUUUUUCUUCUUCUUUGUAGGGACAAAAGGAGCAAUCUACAAUAACAAACAAUUUAUCUAAGUCCUUGGAAUAUUGAAAUUUCAUGGGGAUAAAGAGAUCUGUAGUUUUAACUACUAUUCCAAGAACCUUUCUAGGAAAACUCAGUUUCUUCAGAAAACUGAGCUGAUAAGAAAUCAAAUUGCCUACCUCCUCCUUAACCUCCCGGUUUUUCAUUUGAUGGACUUCUUCAACAUCAGCGUUUGAAAUCAAGUUGUUUAUGUUGCAUCAAUAUGCUGCUUUUACUUACACUAGACUUGUAAAUAAUGAUGGUAAUACGGUAAAGAAAAUCAUGUUUCCUUAGAAUAAUUAUGUCUUAUUCAAUGUUCAGAGUAUUCUUAGAUAGGAAAACUCCAACUUCCAUAGAAGACAUACAAGCUAUUGAAUGUCGUAUCAAUCAGUGUAGGGCCAAGUUCCAGCAAAUACCAAAGUAAACCGGGCUCAGUUUCACCAAAUAGAUCGACACCACCAACGGGUUGAGACAACUCCAAAACACCACCACCAAAUCCCACCUCCGAUUGCUACAAUAUACUCACAAAGAGUUGGACAAGAUGAAGAACAAUAAUAUGCCCACAAGAAAACCACAAAGAUCAUAUGAAAGAGGAGAAACCGAGAGAAUGAGUCACAGAGAGAGAUUGGACAUUCUUCAUAUGGAGGUCGAGAGAAAAGCCAAGAAUAUAAGCCAAGCAAGUGACCAAACAAGGUAAGUUAGGUUAGAUAUUUAGUGGACCAAACAAGGCUCGACUAAAAAAUAAUGGGCUUCAAAUUAAUACCAUAGCCCUCCAAGGAAAUGGGACGAACCGUGAGCAACACUAUUAACAAUAGGUUACUUCUAACUGUCCAUAGGAAUAUGGAUUGGGUUGUCUCGAUAAUUGUGUCGAUAUACAAAUCAAUCAUAUGGUCAAGGCCGAUUGGUAAUAGAACCGGGGCUACAUCAAAGCCCGGGGGUCGUUUGACAACAAAUUGCCUAACAACCUCCACCUUGGUAUCAAAAGACCUACAAAAGAAAAUGUCUCCCAUUAGUAACACCUCUAAUAGAAAACCAAUAAAAUUGGAAAUCAUUUACCUGUACUAAUGUUUAGAAGUUUCUUGCAACUUCUAACCUUUGCCAGUGGCAGUAUCUUCAUCCCCAUAUCAGAGGGGUUAUAGUGGGUGUGGACCUUUUCAAGUCUUACCACCUCUUGAGAUACUAUAUCUCUAAUGAAGUGGAGUCUAACAUCAAUGUGUUUAGUGCGCUCGUGAAAACGGGGUUCUUGCAUAAAUGUAUAGAUGACUGACUAUCAGAAUACACUACCACAUAAUCAUUCAAGACAUAUAGUUCAUGAAGAAGGCUUCUAAGCCAUGAGCUUCUUUAAUAGGUUCAGUGGUAUCAAUAUAUUCUAAUUCUGUAGUGGAUAGUCAACAAUAUGUUGUAACUGUGAUGUCCAACUAACACAUGAAUUAGAUAAGGUAAACACGUAAGACGAAGUGGAUUUCCUACCAUCCCUAUCUCCCGCGUAGUCAGCAUCUACAAAACCCUUUAAUUUUAUACCUUCUUUAUUAGCACUAAACUUUAAACCCACAUCACUUGUACCCUUCAAGUACUUUAAUAGCCACUUUAGCACUUCCCAAUGUUUAGGGCCUGGAUUAGCCAUGUAUCUACUAAGAGUACUAACAGCAAAAUAUAAAUCCGGUCUAGUGCAAACCAUCAAAUACAUUAUGGAACCAAUCACAUUAGAGUAAGACACUCUACUCAUGUAUUCUAUUUCACGCUCAUUGCAAGGGGAUUGUUCUUUCGAUAAAACAAAAUGAUUAGCAAGAGGUAACGUGAUAGGUUUGCAAUCACUCAUAUUAAAUUUCUUCAAUGCUUUGGAUAUGUAUGGAGACUGAUGCAAAAACAAAACAGAAUUUGACCUAUCUCUUUCGAUUUCAAUACCUAAGAUUCUCUUAGUCUUACCUAAGUCUUUCAUGUCAAAUUCACCACUUAGUUUUACUUUUAUGUUAUUUAUCCACUUAGAAGAUAAUCCAAUCAAAAGCAUGUCGUCCACAUAGAGCAACAAAAAUAGAUAAUUAUCAUCAGUCUCAUUGUGUUGAAAAUAUAAGCAGUGAUCAAAUUUACUUCUUUGGAACCCUAUAGUGAGUACAAAGGAAUCAAACAUCUUGUACCACUGUCUAGGAGAUUGUUUUAAUCCAUACAAGGAUCUUCUCAGAAAACACACAUAAUCAGGUUUUGACUUAUCCUUAAAAGCUUUUGGUUGAUUCAUGAAAAUUUGUUCAUCAAACUCACCAUGUAAAAAAGCAGUUUUUACGUCAAGUUGUUUAAGUUCCCAGUCAAAGUGUGCAACCAAUGCGAGCAUGACCCUAAUAGUAGCGUACUUAACAAUUGGUGAGAAAAUCUCAUUAUAAUCAACGCCCUCCUACUGUGUAUAGCCUUUAGCUACUAACCUAGCUUUAAACUUUAGGGGUUUCGAGCUGCUAGUACCUUCCUUAACCUUAAAGACCCAUUUGCAAUCAAUAAUUGAUUCACUCUUAGGCCUAGGUACUACCUCCCAAGUAUGAUUCUUUUCUAGAAAACUCAUCUCUUCUUUCAUUGCCUUAAGCCAUUCAUUAGAUUGAUCACUGCCUAUUGCCUCUUCAAAUGUCUUUGGCUCUUUAUCAGCUAGUUCUUCAUAACUAGCCUGGGCGAAAGCUAAUUCAGAUUCAAAAUCGAACCUUCUAGGUUCCCUCCUUUGUCUCAUCUCUCUAUCCCUAACUAAGUUAUAGUUAGCUAAAGGAUUUUCUUCCUCAUAGUGCUCUUCUAUUACUACUUCGUUACUAUUCUCCAUCCCGGGUUCCUGAGCUUGAGUCUCCACCUCAUUUGAAGCAGUAGGGGCAGGUGGAUUCAGUUUUCCUAGCUCUACCUUAAACUGGUCUCUCUCUUCACCUAGUUCAGCUUCACUCUCAGGUUCAGUUUUCUCUUUAAUACACGGCAUCUCAUUUUCGUUAAACGUGACAUCCCUACUUAUGAUGAUCUUAACCCAUUUUUGGCUUCUAUCCCAUAACCUAUAACCUUUAACACCCUCGGGAUAUCCUAAAAAGACACACUUUCUAGCUCUAGGUUCCAGCUUACCCUCACUUUGAUGAGAAAAAACUGUACAACCAAAAGUUCUAAGAAUCGAGUAAUCACUCAGUUUACCCAACCAUCUCUCAUGUUAUAACAGCCUCACCCCAAAAUGACUUGGGAACACCAUAAUUAAUUAUCAUGCAACGUACUUUAUCAAGUAUGGUCCUAUUCAUCUUUUCUGCUACCCCAUUUUGUUGAGGAGUGUAAAGAACGGUCUUAUGUCUAGUUAUGUCGCUAUCUUUACACAUACUAUCAAAUUCCUUGUUGCAGAAUUCUAGGUCGUUAUCUGUCCUCAAAAAUUUGAUUUUCUUGCCAGUUUGAUUUUCCACUUGUCUCUUCCAAUUGUUAAAACUAUUAAAGGUCUCAGAUUUAUUCUUCAAAAGAUAGACCCACACUUUCCUAGUAUAGUCAUCGAUAAUAAACAGGAAAUACCUAUUCCCACCCGAUGUGGGAUUACUAGCAGGACCCCACAGAUCAGAAUGCACAUAUUCGAGCAUGCCUUUAGCUCUAUUAACACUCGUGGAGAAGGAAGUUUUAUGAUGCUUAUCAAGCACACAAUGAUCACAAAAUGACAAAUCUGACACACAUUCAUUACCAAAAGCACCUUUUUCGUUAAGUAGCUUAAGUCCUUUAACCCCUACGUGAGCAAGUCUAUUAUGCCAUGUGUGUGUGUGAUCAAUCUUGGCAGAGGAGAUAAAGGGUUUCACACCUCUAAUCACUUCCCCGGUAGUUAUAUAUAUAUCAUUUUUCUUAAUUCCCUUAAUAGAAACUCAAGCACCCUUGAUCAUUUUUAGCAUACCAUUUCCAAUUUUAUCAGUAAAGUCAUCAUUUUCAAGUCUCCCUACUGAAAUCAGAUUCCUAGACAACUCAGAAAUAUAUCUAACGUCCUUUAACGUAUACACAAAAUCUGUGUCAAAUUUUACGUUUAUGUCACCAAUUCCAGCAAUAGUAUAGACAAAGUUAUCACACAGCACAACAUGCCCAAUAUUAGAUUCAUGUAACUUAUAAAAUCAAUUCUUUUCAGACGUCACAUGAAAAGAUGCACCAGAGUCUAGUAGCUACUCAUGCAUGCGAGAAUUAGCAGUUAGAUUUAAUUCAACAGUGUAUGCAAUGAGACUUGUAAUCAUAUAGACCUCACCACCAUUUAUAUCGGAAGUAGAUGCUAAUACAUUAACCUCAUCUCUCUCUUUAACCUUUAGCUUACCCUUCUCCUUAUGGCAAUACUUUAUAAAAUGACAUAUGUUUCCACAACCAUAGCAUUUUCUUGCCUUAGUCUUAGAUUUUGAUCUAGACCUACCUUUGCUCUUCUUUUUCCAUCCAUUACCACUUGACUCGCCACUAGUUUGAUGUCCAUCAUGACUAUGUUGCCUAAAUUGAGUUCUACCCCGCAUCAUAUGUACCUCACCAUUCCUCUUAUCGUGUUUUUCAACCUUAAUUUCCAUUUCUUUACCUCUAAGGAAAUCUAUGACAAUUUCAGGUGUCAACGUGUCUCUACCAUACUUAAUGGCAUUCUUGACUUCCUUAUAGGAAUUAGAAAUUGCAUUGAACAAAAUUAUAGCCUUAUAAAUUUCGGAUACAGUUUCAUCAUAAUUAACUAUAUCUUGCACCAAUUUGUUAAACACGUCUAAAUUGUCAUCAAGAUCCUUUGAAGGAUCCAUUUUGAAACUGAAAAAACUUUCGAGCAAGUAAAACUUAUUCGGUAUAGACUUAAGCAAAUACAAGUCUUCUAAUUUUUUCCAAAGUUCUUUAGUGGUUUUCAGUUUGCCCACAUUUCUUAAAACAACGUCAGACAAGUGUAAAAUGAUUGAGGUAUAAGCAAGCUCAUCGGCUUCUUCUCUUUGUUCUUGUGAAAAAUCAAUUGAAAAAUUGCCUUCAAUGGCCUUUGAAACCUUUUGUUGGACUAAAAUGCCCUUCAUUUUUUGUUGUCAAAUAGCAAAUUCACUCUUUUCAUUAAAAAUUUCCAAAUCAAAGUUGUGAGUUGUCAUCUUUACAUAACAGUCAAAGAAUGAACAAACCACAAUCAAACCACACAAAGUAGUUCUAGGGUCACAGACAGUAUAUACCGUUCUAGAUUCCCAGGGUUUCGUAAGACUUGCGGUCUUAGAUCAAGGAAAUGUUCGAACGGGUAAGGUCACGGUAUUUCUAAUGGAGUAAGCAGUGGAAGUAAUAAUGUAACAAAAGAUACGUCUAGUAGAUAACUAGUUUCAUAGUAAUUAGAUCACUAAGAAUUACAAAAUUGAUUUUAACCCAAAAACAAAUACUCAAUCAAAACAAUCAAGAGCACGUAACCCUAAUUCUAGUACAAGCAAUGGUUGCCAAGCAAUGACAACCUCCAACCUAUUGUCAUCCCACACGGUGACGCGCUAAUGCUGAAAUUAACGGGUUAAGCCAAUUUACCAGAGCGGACGUGUUUGAGUCCGUAUAAUCGAGAGAGAUGCAAAUCUACUACUUUAGGGCUGUAAUUUUGGCAUAAAGUAAUUUAGUAGAUAUAUGCAGUGAUGCGAACCUCGUAGCAACGUUGACUAUGAAACCCACAACGAAAUUGACGAACCCAAGAAAGCUAAAUUAAUCCAAGAGUUUAGGAUUACCCCCCAAAAGAAAGUCGAACCAAAAAACCCAACAAGAAUGACGCUUGAAAUACCCUUUAAUCAUGCAAUCCAAGAAUUAAAUCCGAUUGUUUGAACGCCACAAGUUAACACUUGAUAAGUUCGAAAUUGUUCAAUGAAGAACGAUGAAGAGAAGACAAUACGCCUCACUAUAAUUCAAUAUCAAUAAUGUCAAAAGUUUUUAACAACUGAAUGAAAACUCCUAUUUAUACUAAACCUAAAAACUAGGUAAAAAUCGUGCAAAAGUCGAUCAUAAUCCCCAAAAUAUGGAAAAUAAUCAAAAACUAACAAAAUAUGAAAAAUUGCCAAAAUUAGAAAAUUCGCCACAAUUUUUGGCCUAUGCGACCGCAUAGUGUAUUUCCAUGCGGUCGCAUGGUUCAGUCCAGUUGGCUCUUUUGAGUUUCGGUAAGCACCUAUGCGACCACGAGCCUCAUAAGCCUUUGAAGUCGCAUAGGCUUAUUAUUUUCCUCCGUCUUUGACCUUCGAUAUUAAAUUGAUCCAAGUUGAUUCGGCCUUCGACCCGAACAUGAAAUUGCUCCAUUUUGAGUCCCGAACAUGGUUCCAUCAAUGGUUUCUUGAACGAGCAAUCCCAUCGCUUGUUUCACUUGCUUUGCCCUUGAUCACGUCAUUGGUCCACCAUCGACUAUCAACGGAUCUCUCUCACACUUGCCUUCGUCGGGCUCGACUCCUGGAUCAUAUCAUCCCCUCCCUCUUCAAAAGGAUUCGUCCUCGAAUCUGAACCUGCAUCAAAUAGAAAGAGAUCAGAUACAUUAAAAGUAGCCGAAACAUUAUACUCACCUGGAAGGUCCAACUUAUAUGCAUUAUCGUUUAUCAUUUUGAUAACUUGAAAUGGACCAUCGCCCCUCGGUUGCAACUUGUACUUCCUUUGCUCCGAAAAUCGCUCCUUCCUAAGGUACACCCAAACCCAAUAUCCCGCUUCAUACCUUUGUUCGACUGCGACGCAACCAACUUACUUUUGUUUUCAAUUUGCGCUUUUACCUUUUUAUGGAGUGACUUAACUAAUUCCGCCUUCUUUUUGCCAUCUAAACUACCACGUUCAUUCAUAGGUAAAGGAAUUAAAUUCAAAGGAGUUACUGGAUUAAAAUCAUAUACAAUUUCAAAUGGAGAAUAUGACGUAGUAGAGUGAACAGCUCGAUUGUAUGUAAAUUCAAAAAAUGAUAGACACUCCUCCCAACUUUUCAAAUUUUUUUUGAUUGUUGUGCGUAACAAUUGUGUUAUAGUCCUAUUGACUACCUCGGUUUGCCCAUCCGUUUAUGGGUGACAAGUUGUGGAAAAUAGUAACUUAGUUUCUAACUUACCCCACAAAACUCUCCAAAAGUGACUCAAAAAUUUUACAUCCCGAUCCGACACUAUGCUUCUAGGAACCCCAUGUAAACGCACAAUCUCUUUAAAGAAUAAGUCAGCAACGUUCAUGGCAUUGUCAGUGUUAUGACAUGGUAUAAAAUGUGUCAUUUUGCUGAACCUAUCUACAACCACAAAAAUAGAAUCCUGACCUCUCUUAGUCCCAGGUAAACUCAAAACAAAGUCCAUCGAGAUAUCAACCCAAGACUCACUAAGUGUAGGUAAGGGUGUGUACAAACAUUGAGGUAAAACCUUAGACUUAGCCCUUUUUCAACCUAUGCAUCGACUACAAAUUCGUUCGACAUCGCUUUUCAUCUUAGGCCAGUAAAAAUGCUCCUUCAAUACAUCUAAAGUCUUUUGAACCCCAAAGUGUCCCAUCAAUCCACCACUAUGUGCCUCCCUUACUAAUAAUUUUCGAAUAGAACAAUUAGGAACACGUAACCUAUUUUCUCGAAAUAAAUACACCUCAUGCCUAAAGAAUCUAUCAACCGCCCUUUUAUGCAUGACAAAUAAAUAUUCGAAAAUUCAACAUCAUUUUCAUACAAUUUCUUAAUAUGUUCAAACCCAAGUAGCUUAGAACCAAGAGUAGUUAGCAAUACGUACCUUCACGACAACGCAUCCGCCACCACAUUUUCCUUACCUUAUUUAUGUCGAAUGACGUAUGGAAAGGUCUUAAUGAAUUCCAUCUACCGUGCAUGCCUCUUGUUCAAUUUACCUUGUCCCCGCAAGUGCUUUAGUGACUCAUGAUCGGUGUGUAUUACGAACUCCUUCGGCCAUAGAUAAUGUUGCUAAGUCUUCAAAGCUCGAACAAGUACAUAAAGUUCCUUGUCAUAUGUAGGAUAAUUUAAAGCAGCUCCACUCAAUUUCUCGCUGAAAUAUGCAACAGGCCUCCGAUCCUCCAUUAAAACUGCUCCAAUCCCUAUUCCUGAUGCAUCACACUCAAUCUCGAAUGUUUUAUCAAAGUUAGGUAAUGCCAAAACAGGUGCUUCACACAAUCUACCUUUAAUAGUAUUAAAUGCAAGUUCCUAUUUAUCACUCCAAAGAAAACCUACUCUCUUUUUAACUACUUCCGUGAGUGGUGCGGUGACAGUGCUAAAAUCUUUCGCAAAACGCCUAUAAAAACUAGUCAAACCAUAAAAACUCCUAACUUCCAUUAUGCUUUUAGGUGUCAGCCAAUCUCUAAUAGCUUUUAUCUUUUUAUCGUCUACUUCUACCCCAUUAGCACUAAUCACAAAACCAAGAAAAAUAAAUUUAUCCAUACAAAACGUGCAUUUCUUAAGAUUAGCUUAGAGUUGUUCUUUUCUUAAAACAAUUAACACACACUUUAAAUGUUCCAAAUACUCUCCUAGGUUUUUGCUAUAGAUUAAGAUGUCGUCAAAAUAAACCACAACAAAUUUUCCUAUAAAAGCACAUAAAACAUGAUUCAUUAAACGCAUAAAAGUGUUAGGUGCAUUUGUGAGUCCAAACGGCAUAACCAACCAUUCAUAUAUACCAUAUUUAGUUUUAAAAGUCAUUUUCCAUUCAUCACCCUCCCGCAUACGAAUUUGAUGAUACCCGCUUUUUAAAUGAAUUUUAGAAAAUAUGCAAACACCAUGUAAUUCAUUAAGCAUGUCAUCUAACCUAGGUAAAGGGUGACGAUACUUUACCGUUAUGUUGUUGAUAGCCCUAAAAUCCACGCACAUUCGCCAACUUUCAUCCUUUUUUUGCACAAGCAAAAUCGGUACCGCACAAGGACUCAUGCUUUCCCUCAUGUAUCAUUUGCUAAUUAACUCCUCUACUUGCUUUUGAAACUCCUUAGUCUCCUCGGGAUUACUUCGAUAAGCUGGUCGAUUUGGAAUGACAGCUCCGGGUAUGAAGUCAAUUUGAUGUUCAAUGCCUCGAAUAGGCGGCAAUCCACUUGGUGCAUCCUCUGGAAAUACAUCAUCGAAUUCCUGCAACAAAGACUUAGCCAAACUAGGGAGGGGUGUGUUAGUUUCCUCAAAAUUGAGGAGUGAUUCCUUAUAAACGAACAAGAUCAUCUCUUUUCUCUCAACUACCGCUCUCCUCACAUCACUUUCUUUUACAAAAAAAUUCGCUCGUGUUUUCUCUUUUCUCUCGGAACACUCCCUUUCUUUUCUUUCUUGUGAUUGCUCUUUCUUUUUCUCUCUAAUGGCUAUCUCAACAUUUUCUCUCUUUUUCUCCAACUCACUAUUUGCUCUCAUUUUUUCUAACUCUCUUGCUCUCCUCUCUUUCUCACUUCUCAAUUUUAAUUAGUCCUCAUAGACUUGCGCCGGUGUUUAUGGCACAAGAGUAAUGGUCCUUCCAUUCUUAAUGAAACUAUAUCGAUUUUUGUACCUAUCAUGCAUAGCCUUCCUAUCGUAUUGCCAUGGUCGCCCCAAUAAAAUAUGUCCCGCUUGUAUUGGCACCACAUUACACACUAACUCGUCCUUAUAACUCCCAAUUGACAAGUUAAAUAACACCCUUCGAUUCACCCUCACCUCGCCACUCUCAUUCAACCAUUGCAAUUUAUAAGGUCUCAGGUGUCCCAACAAUGUUAAACCCAUUUUUUCUACAAGAGAUACGCUAGCUACAUUAGUGCAACUACGACCAUCAAUUAUAACACUAUAUACCGUAUUGUUGACGUGGCAUCGAGUGUGGAAAAUGUUCUUCCGUUGCAACUCCAAGUCAUCCGCUUUGACGUGAGUAGUGAGAGCUCGCCUUGUGACUAGUAGAUACCCAAACGGCCCUUCAACUUUUUCUUCUUCACUAACAUCCUCCAACGCCGGCAUGUCAUCAAACUCGCCAUCACUAUUGCUCACAAUCUCUCUAUUAUCCUAUAACACCAUCACCCGUUUGUUUGGGCAUUGAGAAGCAAUAUGCUUCGUUCCCAAACACCUAAAACAUUUGAUGUCCCGAUUGCGCGACGGUUGUGCCUCCGAUUUUGAUAUUGGUUUGCUAGCAUUUUCAUCCUUGCCCUUUUGCCAAUCAUUUUUACCUCUAGGUGCAGCCCCGUUUUUGUUGUUGUCAUCCCACUUCGAUUUCCAUGUUGGAUUAGGAGUCAAAGUACCUAACGGUUGCCUAGACGUCCCCUUCCUCUUCAAUUGCCUCUCGACCUUCAUUGCCACAUGUAACAUGUCCUCGAUUUCCACAUAGUGUUGCAACUGUACAAUGUUUGCAAUAUCCCAAUUUAACCCAUUCAAGAACCGUGCCAUGGUAGCUUCCCGAUCUUCCUCCACAUUAGCCCGAAUCAUAAGAAUUUCCAUCUCCUUGUGAUAGUCCUCUACGCUUUUCGAUCCUUGGUACAAACCUUGCAAUUUUUGAUGGAUUUCCCUAUAAUAGUGACUCGGAACAAACCUCCUCCUCAUCAACACCUUCAAUUCAUCCCAAGUGCUAAUUGGUCUUUCCCAACCCCUACACCGUGAUGUAAGUACUUGAUCCCACCAAGAUAUCGCGUAAUCCACAAAUUUAAGCACCACCAAUUUUACCUUUUUCUCCUCCGAAUAAUUAUAGCACUCAAAAAUUAUCUCAACCUUCCUUUCCUACUCUAAAUAUGCUUCCGGAUCGCUUCUCCCCUUAAAUUGCGGAAUAGUCAUUUUAAUACUCCCCAAAUUUUCAUCUACUUCAUCUCCCAAGGUAGCUUUCCAUCCUAUUGCCCCUAUGCCUCGGUCGACCCAUAUUAAAGUCAUUUUCAUCAAAUCAUCCUCAUCACUACGAUACUCAUCUCGCCUUCCCCUCCUAGAUUCAUGCCUAUCCGGCCCCCUAGCAUUAGAUAUUUCCACUUGUCCCCGGCUAAGAUUACCAAUUGUAGUACCUAUUUGCACCAUCCAUUCCCCUUAUCUAUCCACCUUCUCCCUAACAUCACCAAGUAUCCUUUCAAACCUCCUUAUCAUGUCCUCCGAUGCAUUGUUGUCAUUACCGUAUCGGCUUAAAUUAGAACCUUCUCUUUCCGACAUCAUAUCACACAAUUUUUUUAUGCCUCACAAAGAUUUCACUCGAAAAACACUCAUUAUGGCUUUUUCCCUCUAUUAAACUCACCACUCGGCCUUUUACCACUCAAAGUCCCCCUCCAAGCACUUCAAAGAAUCAAGUAAACUAAAUCAAUUGUUUUACCAGAAAUUCAAACAAACCGAAUAUUAAUCAAAGAUCACGAGACUCAAAGGACUCGAAUAAGUGGAAUAGAUGAAUGUUUUGACAAGAAUAUGUGAAUAGACUUAAUAGAAGAUUGAAAGAAUCGAACCCAAUCGAAUAUCCCAAAGUCAAACACAAUGUAGAAAUCGUUGUUGGUAGAAUAAACAAAAUCAAACAAUAAUAAUAUCAAAUUUUUGUUUGUUUGUUUGUGAACAGUACUUCGAGAUGAACAGUACCUCGAAUGUACAAUAACUUUUUUUUUUUUUACUCCUUGAUGAAAGAAGAUGACUAAACUACCAACAACUCAACGAAACGACGAAAAGAAAAACAAGAACGAAGAAGAACUAAGAAAACAAAAUUAAUGACUCAAACAAAUAAAGAAAAGAUAUAACCUUCAAUUAAUUUGGAGCCAAAGCUCUAAUACCAACUGAUGUGAAUCUUGUAGCAACGUUGAUUACGAAACCCACAACGAGAUUGAGGAACCCAAGAAAGCCAAACUAAUCCAAGAGUUUAGGAUUAACCCCAAAAGAAAGUCGAACAAAAAAACCUAACAAGAACGACGCUUGAAAGACCCCUUGAUCACGCAAUCCAAAAAUUAAAUCCGGUUGUUUGAACACCACAAGUUAACACUUGAUAAGUUCGAAAUUGUUCAAUGAAGAACGAUGAAGAGAAGACAAUACGCCUCACUUUAAUUCAAUAUCAAUAAUGUCAAAAGUUUUUAACAAUUGAAUGAAAACAACUAUUUAUACUAAACCUAAAAAUUAGGUAAAAAUCGUGCAAAAGUCGAUCAUAAUCCCCAAAAUAUGGAAAAGAAUCAAAAACUAACAAAAUAUGAAAAAUUGCCAAAAUUAGAAAAUUCGCCACAAUUUUUGGCCUAUGCGACCGCACAGUGUUUUUCCAUGCGGUCGCAUGGUUCAGUUCGGUUGGCUCCUUUGAGUUUCGAUAAGCACCUAUGCGACUGUGAGCCUCAUAAGCCUAUGCGGUCGCAUAGGCUUAUUAUUUUCCUCUGUUCUCGACCUUCGAUAUUAAAUUGAUCCAAGUUGAUUUGGCCUUCGACCGAACAUGAAAGUUGUUCCAUUUUGAGUCCCGAACAUGGUUCCAUCAAUGGUUUCUUGAACGAGCAAUCCCAUCGCUUAUUUCACUUGCUUUGCCCUUGAUCGCGUCAUUGGUCAACCAUCGACUAUCAACAGAUCUCGUCUCGCACUCGCCUUCGUCGGGCUCAACUCCUAAAUCAUAUCAUGCAGUUUCAACCGUCGAUCCACUAGGGGCAAAAUUAUCCAACUUUUUCUGUGUAACCUGAAACAGAAAAUAAAUAGUGUCAGUGCGUUCAGGGGAUUGAAAUGAGCAAACUACCCGAAGGAAGUUCGCCCAAAAAUGCCGCCACGCGCCGUUGCUGGAGUUUGCCGUCGCCACCACGCGCCCCACUGGAAGGGGCGCCUUUGGCUGCUGGUUCCGGGUAUGGGGUCAAUUUCGUCGAAAAGUUCCUAGUUUGGCCGAAAUUCACGGUUGCAGGUUUAGCUCCUCUAUGAAAAUCGCGCAAAACGUCAUCGUUUUUGGUUGAUUUUUGGUCGGAGAAGUGACCCACGCUCUGAUAACAGUUGUAGGGCCAAGUUCCAGCAAAUACCAAGGUAAACCGGGCUCAGUUUCACCAAAUAGAUCGACACCACCAACGGGUUGAGACAACUCCAAAACACCACCACCAAAUCCCACCUCCGGUUGCUACAAUAUACUCACAAAGAGUUGGACAAGAUGAAGAACAAUAAUAUGCCCACAAGAAAACCACAAAAGUCAUAUGAAAGAGGAGAAAUCGAGAGAAUGAGUUACAGAGAGAGAUUGGACAUUCUUCAUAUGGAGGCCGAGAGAAAAGACAAGAAUAUAAGCCAAGCAAGUGACCAAACAAGGUAAGGUAGGUUAGAUUAUUUAGUGGACCAAACAAGGCUCGACUAAAAAAUAAUGGGCUUCAAAUUAAUAACAUAGCCCUCCAAUGAAAUAGGACGAACUGUGAGCAACACAAUUAACAAUAGAUUGCUUCUAAUGGUCCAUAGGAAUGUGGAAUGGGUUGUUUCGAUAAUUGUAUCGAUAUACAAAUCAAUCGUAUAGCCAAUGCUGAUUGAUAAUAGAACUAGGGUUACAUUAUAGCCCAGGGGGUCGUUUGACAACAAAUUGCCUAACAAUCAGGUAUGUUACUUCUCAAAAUGGGUGUCAUUUUUCAUAUUGAUAAAUGCAUAUUGUCAUUUCUCAUCAAGAAAGAUCUUCUAAUGAUGCGUUUGACAAAUGAUAUACAAAAAGAGGCAGAUGAAGCAGAGUCUGGCCUUCUAAAAACAUUUGCUUCUCUUUGGUGGCUUAUUUGCAUAAUACUCCUCCAAAUUGGGCCUUCUCCUUUGUGCCCCAGCAUGCUUGUAUCCUGUUAUUGCCAAACCUCUUUUUUCCUUAACUAAAAUUACCUCUGCCCUCUGCAGAAGAAAAUUAGUUAAAGAGACAUCUUGUUUUUACAUUCUAAAUUCACACCAUCAAUCAAAACCUAAUUCAGAUUUUAGAUACAAUUAAAUGAAAUAUAAAAAUAAAUAAUACUUACUUGGAGAGGAGGCGAAACACGAAGAGGGUUGUCAUGGUUCCCAUUGGGGUAUAUGGGCAUCUGAAUCUCACAUUGGAAGUAUGGGCUUGCUUUGUACGGUUUAUAUAGGCUUGGGUUCUCCAACUUCAUUGGCUAGCUUUUGGGGUAUGGCUCUUCCAAGUCAUAUGACAAUGGUAUCAGAGCAGACACCAUGUCUUUCGAUCUCGAUUACCACUUAGGGUGUAUAGGCACCUGCUCGAUGUGGACGCCGAGUCGGAAGCGUAGUGGUUUGUCAUGGUUCCCAUGGGGGUGUAUGGGCACCCGAAUCCCACAUUGGAAGUAUGGGCUUCCUUUGUACAAUUUAUAUAGGCUUUUGUUCUCCAACCUCAUUGGCUAGCUUUUCGGGUAUGGCUCUUCCAAGUUCUAUAAUAAAGGUAUCUUGGAAAAUUAGGGAUUGGAAUGUUUUUGGGAUUUUAGAAUAUGCGUUUCAGAGAAUUAAACAAAUUAAACGCUGAUGUUGAAGAAAUCAAACUGAACUAACCAUGGAAAAAUCAGUUUAUUAAAACUGAACUUACAUCCCCUACCUCCUCCUUAACUUCGUUUUGAUUUUCCUCGUCAGCCAUGGUUAUAAUUAGAUCUGCAACAUAAAUAAAAAAACGCAAAUCAAAUUCAAAAUCCCAUAAUAAAACAUUAUUAGAAGAAUUAAAUGCCGUUAAAAAUCGAAGCCCAUACGCAAAAUAAUACAAGGAUAGAUGCAAAAAAUAUUUCGAUAAUACGAGUAUUUCUCUCAGAUUUACAGAUUCAGUGGGCAAUAUUCAAGCAAGUAUUAGUGGGCUCAUGGCUGGUGGCUGAUU
rnacentral:lncRNA from 1 species